UCUGAGAGGAUGAUCAGCCACAUUGGGACUGAGACACGGCCCAAACUCCUACGGGAGGCAGCAGUGGGGAAUAUUGGACAAUGGGCGCAAGCCUGAUCCAGCCAUGCCGCGUGAGUGAUGACGGCCUUAGGGUUGUAAAGCUCUUUCGCUCGGGACGAUAAUGACGGUACCGAGAUAAGAAGCCCCGGCUAACUUCGUGCCAGCAGCCGCGGUAAUACGAAGGGGGCUAGCGUUGUUCGGAAUUACUGGGCGUAAAGCGCGUGUAGGCGGGUCUUUAAGUCAGAGGUGAAAUGCCAAGGCUCAACCUUGGAACUGCCUUUGAUACUGGAGAUCUUGAGUCCGGGAGAGGUGAGUGGAAUUGCGAGUGUAGAGGUGAAAUUCGUAGAUAUUCGCAAGAACACCAGUGGCGAAGGCGGCUCACUGGCCCGGAACUGACGCUGAGACGCGAAAGCGUGGGGAGCAAACAGGAUUAGAUACCCUGGUAGUCCACGCCGUAAACGAUGGAUGCUAGCCGUUGGGGAGCUUGCUCUUCAGUGGCGCAGCUAACGCUUUAAGCAUCCCGCCUGGGGAGUACGGUCGCAAGAUUAAAACUCAAAGGAAUGACG
rnacentral:rRNA from 1 species